CCGACCCGCCCCUCCGCGGCUCCUGCCGGGCCGCACCUGCCCCGCCGCGGGCCCCACUCUGCUCCGCUCCGCGCCCCGCUCCGCUCCGCGCCCCUCACCUGGCGCCGGGCCGCGGGGCCGGGCCGCCCCUGGGCGGUGCUUUUGUCGGCGGGGGCCGCGGCCCGCCCCGGCGGGGAGGUGAGGGAGGCGCAGGAAAACACCUUUUCUUCUAAAAGUUCUCCUUAAGGUCUUUCUGUUCAAUGAACCAUCUGUGGGAAAGAAAUGAAGGUGAAGAUAAAAUUCCAAGAAGACGCUUGCACAGACCUAUUUGAAAGCAUUUCCUGCCAGGAAACAAGUGCUGCUGAGCCUUUAAGGGCUACGCCUCUGCAACAGCUCCAAGAUACGCUUGCCUUCAGCUAUAUAAGCAGCGGUUAACCAGGACACAGGGGUCUGCAGAAGAAUUACUGACACCUAGACUUAUUUAAGGGAAACUACUACAAAGAAAAGGGUACACAACCAGUUUCUUUUCCUACUUUUCAGUGGUUUCAUCACUUCCUUGCUAUAGACUUAAUGUUUUGAAGAAAUAAAAUUUUGCUGAAGUUAAACCAAUUCCAUUCUUAUCUGUAGCAGGUCAUCUGUUUAAAUGGUGCAGAACAUUAUUUGCUUCUGUGACUUUUCUGUGAUUAAGGAACAAAUAAAUCGCAUCGCUAUUGCAGCAUCUCCCCGAUGUGAGGCUGGGAUGUGAGAUUAAGUUAGCGGGGUUUAGCAAGUAUCAUUUGCACAGUGGUAAGCGUGGACAUGGGGAUGAACAGGCUCUUAGCCGGCAGCAAAUAUGUGGUGAUGAGACUUGUUCUGACAGGAGAGAAGGCUAAGCUAACUCACACAUGGUUUGCCUAUAGCAAAUGCAAAGUAAUACAUGCUGACAAUUUCGGCAGACCAGCUGAUGCAUAGUAAGUUGUUAAUAGGUGUUAACUUGAUGGUGCUUCUGAGCUCACAAGACAAUGUAAUGUAGUGUACCACACUGCUGUUUGCUUAGACCCUCUUCUAUCAGUAAUGGGAUUUUUCUCAUUUUUCUAUAGGUUCAGAUCUCUAUGUAUGUGAAUGCGUAUUGCAUUAGACACACAGCACCUUAAUACUGCAAGUUAUGCCAAUGUUCAUACUGGCUGGAAUAGUCUUAUUUAGAAGUAGGUAUGGUAUAUGUAAUGGGACAGAAACAACUGAGAAAUAGGAGUAAUUGUGAUAAAGGUAGUGGGUACCAAACUGAGACUUGUGCCAACAAAACAGAGAGAGGAAAAGCUCGAAAACAGUUCUGUGUGGCAACAAGAUGUCCCUGUCUGAGCCUUACUGAGAAAGGAUGGAACAGAACAAUGCUGUGAGGAAGCUGUGUUGUAGCUUUUGCUCAGAAGAGAACUGCUAAAGGUGAAAAGUCAGAUAACCAGAGAAUGAAAACCUUUCCUCUUCUUUUUCCCUGUCCUCGCUAAUACGGACAGAUGAAUUCCAACGUUAAUGAAGGGACAGCAUGUGCUUUUGAUUUGGUGAUUGAAACUGAAUGCUGCUCUGUAUGCAUGAAAGGUUACUGAAUGGACAAUAAGAGACUGGGGGAAAACAAGUAAAGAGAACACAAAACAAGCCUGUUCUGCAUCUCAUUUAAAAGAAAUGGUAUGCAUCCAAUGGGAGCAAGAAAAUGAAUGUAAAUUUAGGAUUUUUUCCCUCCUGGGUAGUAAUACAAGCAAAAGGGAAGAAGAUGAGAAAAAACAUAUGUAAUUUAGAGUGAAAAUAAUCCAAUGGGAAAAAAAUUAAAAUUUUCUUAUUUGCA